GCUUUGAGAAGCUAAUCAGCAUCGGUCUUGUAAACCGAAGACAGGCUAUAAUUUCCCCAAAGCUC
rnacentral:tRNA from 1 species